GAUGAACGCUGGCGGCGUGCCUAAUACAUGCAAGUCGAGCGAACGGACGAGAAGCUUGCUCCUCUGAUGUUAGCGGCGGACGGGUGAGUAACACGUGGAUAACCUACCUAUAAGACUGGGAUAACUUCGGGAAACCGUAGCUAAUACCGGAUAAUUUUUUGAACAGCAUGGUUCAAAAGUGAAAGACGGUCUUGCUGUCACCUAUAGACGGAUCCGCGCUGCAUUAGCUAGUUGGUAAGGUAACGGCUUACCAAGGCAACGAUGCAUAGCCGACCUGAGAGGGUGAUCGGCCACACUGGAACUGAGACACGGCCCAGACUCCUACGGGAGGCAGCAGUAGGGAAUCUUCCGCAAUGGGCGAAAGCCUGACGGAGCAACGCCGCGUGAGUGAUGAAGGUCUUCGGAUCGUAAAACUCUGUUGUUAGGGAAGAACAUAUGUGUAAGUAACUGUGCGCGGCUUGACGGUACCUAAACAGAAAGCCACGGCUAACUACGUG
rnacentral:rRNA from 1 species